UCUCGAACUUCGAACAUCGAGUUUACCCAGUCACUGCUCAAUUUGCCAUGAGUGAUGUGGCUAAUAUCGUUUACGAACAUUCCCAGGUGAAGAGAUCUAAACUUGAUAAGGAUACAAGUUCUUCCACAAACAAUAUAUAUUCAACUAUCAAUGUAAGUUGGUACUUGAAGCGACCAGUUGAGAUAGAUAGCUAACUAGCCAACUUUGCUAGCAAGCUAACAGUAGCUAAGACAUUACCAAAUUGGUUAGCGCUAACGUUACUUAUUAAGGGCUUGCUUUUGUGUCACAAAUCACCUAGCAACCGCAUCAGACGCCAUGUUGGAAGCCCAAAGUCACUCUGUUGGAAGCCCUUCAACAGUUCACAUGGCUGGCUGGGUUGUGCUACCACUGGAAACAUUGACCAUUAUAGUAAUUCAUUUUUCUAAGGACCCAGAAAACGGAGGCAGUGGGAGAACCUAUUCUAGUACAGAGAAACUUAAAAAACCCUGUCUGCAGAUGAAGAGGUCCCAAUGACUGUCCGAGAGAAUGAGGGUACAUCCUUCUAUACCAUGGAUUAUAAGUGUACCUAUGUAAGCAUAUUUUGUGAACAGAAAUAUAGUUUAAAAGUCACACACAAUGUAUAAACCUAUUACAACUGGAGCAGGCCAACCCUGUAAAAACAAUACCAGUAGACAAUGUAUUUGGGUCUAAUUAAUAUACUGGAUUUUGUACAUGCCUUGUGCUCACAUGAAAUAGUUCAGUGCAAAUCCAACCCUUGUAAUCUAGGUGGUGAAAUGAUGUGAUCAUUAUCUUAAAACAUGAACACAACUACUACCACAAAGGUCAAUGUCAGAUACAUUUCUACCAGGUCUGAGUGGCACUUGGAGGUGCUAAUGUGAUAAUGAAGAUGGCUUGCCUAAGACUACCACAACAAUUACAUUGUCUAUGCUAAAUGUGUUUAAACUGUAAAAUAAAUAAAAUAGUUGGGCUAUAACAACUACUUUUUAUUCAAUGGGGCUAGGCAAAGCAGAGAUUACACAUACUUUAAUUUCACCCAUACAACAAUAGAGCCAAUUUAUUAAAGUACAGUAUGUUUACCAUAUCAUAAACAAUAGUUGUUUCCACAUUCCAAAUGACAUUUUAUAUAUACGGUUUAAGGGGGCACUUUUGUCAUGACAACAAGGUGCUCUACUCAAAUGGCACAACCUAAUCAUUCAGGAAGUUCAAAGCACAGCAUAUGACAACCAUCUUGUAAAACUGAGGGAUGCCUCCUUUCAUUUCUGGAAAUGGACGAAGUAGUAGAAGUAGAAGCUGAUGACUCUGCAGCAUUGCUCAUUUUCACAGUGGGAUUACAGUCGACAUGGGUGUCUUGAUAGUAGAGGUUGACCGAUUAAUUGUAAUGGCCGAUUAAUUAGGGCCGAUUUCAUUUUUUUUUUUUUACCUGGUCAGCUCGGGGAUUCGAUCUUGCAACCUUUCGUUUAAUAGUCCAACGCUCUAAACACUUGAUUACAUUGCACUCCACGAGGAGACUGCCUGUUACGCGAAUGCAGUAAGAAGCCAAGGUAAGUUGCUAGCUAGCAUUAAACUUAUCUUAUAAAAACGAGCAAUAAAUCAUAAUCACUAGUUAACUACACAUGGUUGAUGAUAUUACUAGUUUAUCUAGCGAGUCCUGCGUUGCAUAUAAUCGAUGCGGUGCAUAUUUGCGAAAAAGGACUGUCGUUGCUCCAAUGUGUACCUAACCAUAAACAUCAAUUCCUUUCUUAAAAUCAAUACACAAGUAUAUAUUUUUAAACCUGCAUAUUUAGUUAAUAUUGCUCGCUAACAUGACUCGUUGUGAACUGUGAAGACUAUUUCUUCCUAGCAAAGACAGCCAACUUUGCCAAACGGGGGAUGAUUUAACAAAAGCGCAUUGGGGAAAAAAGCACAAUCGUUGCACGACUGUACCUAACCAUAAACAUCAAUGCAUUUCUUACAAUCAAUACACAGAAGUAUAUAUUUUUAAACCUGCAUAUUUAGCUAAAAGAAAUCCACGUUAGCAGGCAAUAUUAACCAGGUGAAAUUGUGUCACUUGUCCUGCGUUCAUUGCACGCAGAGUCAGUGUAUAUGCAACAGUUUGAGCCGCCUAAUUUGCCAGAAUUUUACGAAAUUAUGACAUAGGAUUGAAGGUUAUGCAAUGUAACAGGAAUAUUUAGACUUAUGGAUGUCACCCGUUAGUGAAAUAUGGAACCAUUCCGUAUAUUAUCUGACAGAAUAAAUGUCUUGUUUUCGAGAUUAUAGUUUCCGGAUUUGACCAUCUUAAUGACCUAAGGCUCGUAUUUCUGUGCGUUAUUAUGUUAUAAUUAAGUCUAUGAUUUGAUAGAGCAGUCUGACUGAGCGGUGGUAGGCACUAGCAGGCUCGUAAGCAUUCAUUCAAACAGCACUUUUGUGCGUUUUGCCAGCAGCUCUUCGCUGUGCUUCAAGCAUUGAGCUGUUUAUGACUUCAAGCCUGUCAACUCCCGAGACUAGGCUGGUGUAACCGAUGUGAAAUGGCUAGCUAGUUAGCGGGGUGUGCGCUAAUAGCGUUUCAAACGUCACUCGCUCUGAGACUUGGAGUGGUUGUUCCCCUUGCUCUGCAUGGGUAACGCUGCUUCGAGGGUGGCUGUUGUCGAUGUGUUCCUGGUUUGAGCCCAGGUAGUGGCGAGGAGAGGGACGGAAGGUAGACGGUUACACUGGCAAUACUAAAGUGCCUAUAAGAACAUACAAUAGUCAAAAGGUAUAUGAAAUGCAGAUCGUAUAGAGCGAAAUAGUCCUAUAAUUCCUAUAACAACUACAACCUAAAACUUCUUACCUGGGAAUAUUGAAGACUCGUGUUAAAAGGAACCACCAGCUUUCAUAUGUUCUCAUGUUCUGAGCAAGGAACUUAAACGUUAGCAUUGUUACAUAUUGCACUUUUACUUUCUUCUCCAAUGCUUUGUUUAUACAUUAUUUAAUCCAAAUUGAACAUGUUUCAUUAUUUAUUUGAGGCUAAAUUGAUUUUAUUGAUGUUUUAUAUUAAGUUAAAAUAAGUGUUCAUUCAGUAUUGUUGUCAUUGUUACAAAUCAAAUAAAAAUUAAAUCGUCCGAUUAAUCGGUAUCGGCUUUUUUUUGGUGCUUCAAUAAUCGGUAUCGGCUUUGAAAAAUCAUAAUCGGUCCACCUCUACUUGAUAGGUCAGCUGGUGAACUUCAAUUAGUACAUAAACAAAUGAAAAGCACUUUGUUAAAAUAUCACUUCUUCGGGGCACCUGUACCAUCACUUAAGUGUUUGGUUGUGUUUAAUUCAUACAGGUGUUUUAGUGUCAUGUAAAGAUUAAAUCUAUUGUUGGGCUGGAACAGCCAAUAGUCACACAGCAGGUUGUCCUAUGUCCAUAUAUUUUCCCUCUUAUGAGUAAAAUGUUCAACAAAUUCUCAAUGGGUUAUUAUGUGAAUAUAUGAUAACCACUGGAGUUUUUUGGACAAUAAUGUUCUCCAGGCUAUAUGGAUGUCAUAUUGUACAAUUUGCGUCUCCCAUUUUCAUGGUCAAGGCUAGAAGGGAUCCAGCUUUUGUCAAAUUAAGUAAUAUUUGAGAUUUCGUAGCAGAUUAAGAGAAUUAACAUUGCUGGUUAGGAGAAUUAGGUUUGGAAAAGGGUUAGGGUUAGCUUAAAUGCACCCCCAGAAAGACUUUUGAUCUUAAUUUAACACAAACUGGAUCCCUUCUUGCCAGGUCCACAUUUCGGCCUAGAUUGGUUGCAUUCAAGGAAAGGUUGUUUUUAUUGAUCUGUUGUCAGUGUCAGUAGAGUAGGCCUAGGCUUCUAUCGUAUUAAAAGAAAGCAUAUGUUAAUGUUUCCGGUCAUAUGAAGUGUAGUAGAUUUGCAUGAAAUGUUUAUCAAAGGCCACAUUUUUCCUGUGCAAAGCAAAUAAACAUCUCUGAUAUAGCCUAUGCCAUUACUUGCUUAUUGAUAGCUUAAAUUGAUAGCCUAACUUAUCACUAUCCAAUGUACUCAUCACAUUAGGAAUAGUAGCCUUACAUUCAUCUGCACAUGUGAUGAUAGGCAUGCAAUCCAUUUCUAUGGUAAAAAUAUAUAUAAUCUCGUGACACACGAGAUUAUAGCUGGUCUACAAGCUAUCUCUAGCUAGCUAGCUAGCGAAUUUUGGUUAGGUUACUGUUGUUGUUAACACCUGGUUAGCAUAACAGCUAAACUAAACUCGAAAUCGAUCAGACUUGACUUACCAGUGAUGAAAUGAUUGUAGCAGACCCUGUACUGACAACUGUCUGGGUUCAGGUCUUGACUGGCAAACUUGUUUCUUCUUCUUUUCUGACAGUUCUUGAGUCUUCUCAUAUCACCUAUAAUGUUUCAUGUUUGCAGGGAAUCUGUAAACAUAUUUUUUCCCGUUGUCUUUCCUGCCUUGUUAGAGCAGCCAGAUACUCCACGGAAAAUGACCGUGGUGAUGAAUCAACUCGUUUUAGGCACUGUUAUCACAGAUAGAAUUAAAACAUCUUUGCUGUUAUCAUGUAGUUUGGGGUAUCCACACGGCUGUGUUUGUCGGAAGAAUUAAUGCAACAUGGCCACCAGGAGACACUUAGCGAGCUAACUAAUUAACGUUAACUAUUUGUCCAGCCACUGUAAUCUAUUAUUUGUUUCUAGCUAGCAAUGUAGCUCGCUAGCUAGCUAGACAAAUCUCAGUAAUGUUAAGAGUAGCAAUGUUAACUUACUAGUAUACAUCAAUUGAUUGUUGUCAACAUAACAUUCAAAUGUAGUAUAGUAAACUUAUUUUUACACUUGGUCAGUUCCAUUUUAAUGUGAGAAUUGAAGAGAAGGAACCAUGACCUUGCUGCUGCAGAUGUCAUACACUGUUCUUGAACAACUAUGUGAUACAUUUUUCCCCUACAUUGCAAGCACCCAAGGAGCCCGUCAUUGUAAACCACUUCUGUUCAUGUGCAGCUGGGAGAGCUUUGUGCAAUCUGGUGCCUCUACUCUUCCAGACUGCACAUUACACCACAAUGGGGUUGAAGACCGUGCCACCACCAUUGCCUUGCACAGAGGUACUGCAGUCGUGGCACAGGUCAAGUUUUGAAAUUGAGAUCAUUUUUCAUAUCGUCAUAGAGAAGACACAUUUAGCAUUUUUGUAAACUCAUAUUACUGCACGUUGUUUUACAUUCAUCCUGAAUCUUUAUUUUUUUUGACCGGAGCCCACUGAUGAAAUGCUUGUGAGGAAGCCAAGGACAUCAGGCAGGAGUGGCAUAAAAUCCACUCUUUACCAAGCAAUCCCUGGGACCCUUCCUGACAUGACAGUGCUGUCUGCUGGACCAAGUUUGAGGAGCAUGAGACCACAGCCUGCCAUUGCCAAGGUGUUGCAUGGAUUGGAAGAAAUUACUCUAAAUUUGGUCCAGUGCUGUCAUAUCAGUGUCUCCUUACUGUCACCAGAGAUUCUAAUGCAUUCAGAUGCUCCUGCUUUCCCCCAACUCCCAGUAAAAUAAACGGUCAUCGAAACUUUGUCCCUACUUGCACUCAGUUUUACCACAUGGAGAGCUUAAAGGAGCCACCAUCAUUGUCAUCUGCUAUUGAGAAUGGCACAGUCGAGCAGUCUGUCCAUCCACUAUGGAAGAAAUUAGGAAACCACGUGUGACUGCUACCCUGUCUAGUGAGGCAUACCACUUGCGUGGGGUGUCAUCUCGCCAUGCCCUAGCCAUGAGAAUGCUUAAAAGUGAGCUGCAAACCGAAGCUAUGAGAAAGGGGUUUGAGCCAGAGGUUCUAUAGAACUACUCUGAAUUGUUUAAUGUCUCGGUCAAACCUUGUGAUUUCGUUGUGAACCCAGAUGCACCCCAUCUUGGGGCGGAAUAGUUUAUGACCCUUCUGCAGCGCCACCCUUCGGGCUAGCCGAGAUCAAGUGCCCUGAUGUUGAGUGUAACUGAUGCGAAGCACAUUAAGUUUGUCAAUGGCCCGGCCAAGCUCAAUCACAGCCACAAAUAUCACUUUAAGUCCAGGGCCAACUGGCUGUAACUGGUUUAGAUUGAUGCGACUUUGUUACAAGCACUAGAAGUGAUAUUACAGUAGAGAGAGUUGAGAGAUGAUGCUUUGAUAGCAGAGAUGAGAGAAACUUGACUACUUCUACACCUACAUGGAUGUGUACUUUAAGAUGUAGUGUAGCAGGUGAGCCAAUCCCACUUGGCAGGCCACUGUAACAUUGUUGCCCAAGGCAAUGUACAUGUAAUGUAAUGUAUUUAACUAAUCAAAAUUGAAUGUAGAGUAAAUUAUUUGAAUGAAUUAAUUGUGUGAUCUUGUUUGUCUAUCCCGUGUGGCUCAGUUGGUUGAACAUGACGUUUGCAAUACUAGGGUUGUGGGGUUGAUUCCCACAGGGGACCAGUACGUCGUGAAAGAAUGGAAAUGUAUGCACUCACUACUGGAAGUCACUGGAUAAGAGCAUCUGCUAAAUGACUAAAAUGUAAAUGUACGCAAUUAUUCAACUAAUUGAAUUGUUUGAUAUUUGUUAUUUUAUACAUACAUAUGUCACUGAAUGAAUAAUCAAAUGUAUUUAUUGAAUAAAAUCUUUAAAUUAAAAAAGGA